GGAACAUCCGGCUCCAAGUGAAAAACACGGGAAAACAAAAGCUGAACGAUCCAAAGAAGAGAUUGCUGCUGCCUCAACCAAAAAGGGUAAAC